CAACAGUAACUGUAAGCAGCUCACUAGUCCUUGACCACAAAAUGGCUCCUCACCUCUUCAAACAAAAUGGCUUCUAGGUAUCUCAACAGGAGGUACCCAUGGAAACCCCUGCUUGUAAUAAAACCACCUUAUUUAUUUCCUACACCGUGAACUCCCUCCACCCCAGCCCCUGCGCCACCCCCUCACACUGCACUGGGCGCACACUACGCAUGCACACCCAGCAGUGUUGUGGAGCUCCCCAUCUCCCUCCUCAGGGUGUCUCCACCAUGUUCCAGCGGGUGGCCCUGGCUGGUGUUGUCUCACAUCUUGGCUCCUUUCACCAGGCGGAUUCCCUUGCUCAGGAUUCCAUCUGCUUGGAUGGCCACAAAUGUAGCCUCGCGUGUGCAGCAGACCCAGUAUGUCAUCUCUGUGCUGCAGGAGGAGGAGGCAGCGCAUGGCGUCCUCCCUCCCUUUCGAGAGUAGGGGUUCAGUCCUCUGGGGCAAGGCGCGAGCAGUGGGGCACCGAUCAGUCCCACAGCAGGACUGUGCGGAGGAGCAGUUGUGAUCAACUUCUAAUCAACUUGUAAUCUUCGAUUGUGGUGAUGGGAACACGCAGAGCCUGCUGUCUUUUGGAAACCAGGCAAUUCUUUCAAGUAUUCUUUCUGGGCUCCUUGUAUUGUUCAUAUAUCUUUGUCGCUCUUCCAAGCAAAGUGUGGGGUUUUUUUCCCAGAUAGAACCAGUGGAAGUCUGUCGAUGGCCUCAGCAAGUACAAGCAUGACCAAAAGAUGUCCCGAGAGCAUGAAAAUGAACCUGUGAAGUCUAUCCAGACCUUUGGCACUACAGACACUGAAUUUUUUGCAAGGCUGAGGAGUAAGAUGGGCACUCUUCGUAUGAACCUGUUGGACACUGGGAGGAGAAAUGAAGAAUUGUUAGAACCAGCUUGAGACCAACUGGCUGUGCAGCACUAAUCCAUAAGAAACAAAAAACUGUUUAAAAGGUGGACUAUUAAGCCUGCAUGUAGUAACACAAGUCACUUUUAACUUACUGGGGCAGUGUCUGGUACAAUGUUUAUGUAGACAAAAAAAUGAAGAUUUAUGUUUCUGUUCUUAGAAUUUCUACCUUUCCCAAGCUAUAAUAGCAUUUGCUUCUGUUUGACAGUCCUGACUUCCUCUGAAUUAUUGUUGGGAUACUAAUGUAUCCCUUUGGACUCAACAAACUCUGGGAGCUGCGAAGUGGUUGGGAUGUAAAACCAUUAUAGUACUCAGAGAUAGGGUUAGCUGAGAUUUGUAUUGUGGUAAGCAAAAGUAGAAAUUCAAAUGUAGCAAACCUGGGUUUAAAAAUAGCAGUAAAGGUAUCUCUACAACAUGGAAA